GUUCGGCCACAAUUUUUUUCAUCCAAUUUUCAUUCUUCCCCUCUUAUUGUCGCACCACCCUAUACUCUUCCUCAUUCUUUCAUUUUUUUUCUCUUUUCUCUCUUUUAUUUAACCUUCAACCUCUCAUUUUUUCUCUUUUUUUCUUUCUCAUCUAAUGUUUCUUAGCCUUGAACCACUAUCACCAAACCACCGAACCACCACAUUGCCACCUCUUUCCCCUCUUUCCUCUCUUUCCCCUCUUUUU
rnacentral:lncRNA from 1 species